UGGACUCCCCUUUUCUCCUCCCCCGUCUCCAGGAGGAGGGAAAAGGGAAGGAGGAGGGGGUUUCGGGAAUAUAGGGGCAGAGGGAGGAGAAAGUGGGUGUUGAAUGUGGCUGGACCGGAGGGAUCUCCACCUCCUGGGUCGGGGGCGGGGGAGGGCGGCGCUGGUCAGCUCCUGCCCUUGGCCUCCAUCCUGUCGUCAGGGGAACUGUGGCUGUCGUUUGUCCCAGCGAGCGGCAAGUGGGGAGCGCAAGAAAAAGUAGUAAUUGUUAGGAGAUCUCGUCUCCUAACUCGGGGAGUUCUCCAAGAGAGUUCUCCAACUUCUGUCCGAGGACUGGAGACGCAGAGUACUCACAAGUCCGGCACUUGAGUGGCUGCGGCUGCGACGGCAAUUUAGUGACACGCGGCUCCUUUAUCUCCCGACUUUUUCUCUGGCAUCAAACUCGUGCAUGCUGUGAAGCUCUCAGUCCCUCGCUGAGUUCCACUGCCCCCUCACUAAAACCCUGGGGCUAGUCGGACCUCUCGGUACAGCCCAUUCCCAGGAAGGGUCGGACUUCUGCUGGCUCCGUACUGCGGGCGACAGUCAUCUCCGAAGAUCUCAGAUCCCAGUAGUGCGGGAGCACUAGCCGCCUCGGGUUGUAGAUUUCACUCAAAUGACAAGUGAAGCUAGUUCUCAUUGAGAAUGCCACCCACACGCACAAAUACAACAAGGCUUACCCCGAUUAGUGACAGCUGUGGACUGGCCAGACAGCUUUCUAACAACGCCUCCUCCUCUAGGGAGGCCCCGCCCAAAGCCCCUCCCUACCCCAAUUACCGGACCUCAAGGUCUAGCUGUGCUAAUGACUCAUAGUUUAUCUCAACCAUGUAUAAAGAAUGCAGAAGACUCCAGAAGGUGGGGGAGCCACUAGAGGAUUCCAUCCAGGACACCACAUUUAAUUGUUAUGAUGUCUUGUGCUCCUCUUGGCUGUGAGAGUUUCUCAGAUUUUCCUUGUAUUUGAUGACCUUGACAGUCCUUAGGAGUACUGAGAUGGGGGUUUCACGAUAUUGCCCAGGCUGGUCCCAAACUCCUGGCCUCAAGCUAUCCUCCUGCCUUGACGUUCGAAAGCACUGAGAUUUUCCUCUCUGUCCUGCCGCCAUGUGAAGAAAGAUGUGUUUGCUUCCCCUUCCACCGUGAUUGUAAUUUUCCUGCAGCCUCCCCAGCCAAGCUGAACUGUGAGUCAAUUAAAC
rnacentral:lncRNA from 10 species